GAGCUGCCAGUUCGUCGUUGAGGAUCUUUGGCACGGAUCCAAUAGCAUUCUUGGGAACUCCCGCGUGCUUCUGAAUAAUAUAUUACUGGUAGGAAGCCAGAUAACAAGUUUCCGGUUCACGCAGAGUCCCAGAAAUAUUCCUUCGAUGAGGUUCACUGCGAUUCUAUAGAGAGCAAAUACUUUUCACUUGGGUGCACUGCAUGGUGGAGUCUAAUGUAAUGUAAUGUAAUCCCACGAAAAGGUGUGACCGUCUCGGCCAUUAAUGAAACUGCGAG